GUUUCAGUUACAUUCUCACCACUGCGUCAACCAGACUAUUAAGUUUUAUCGUUAAAUUGGAGAACAUUUUUAAGAAUUGAGAAAUCUUCCAAAAUGUUUCUGGUAAAUGGAUUUCCAGUUACGAGUUUGUAGUAAGGCUCGGGAUUUUUAAUUUUCCACCUGUUUAGAUAGUCAGCUUUUUGAAGUUAUGGUUCAAACAUUAUUUAUCAUGUUAUCCAUCCCACUGGUCUUAUCGAUACCAAUAACUGAUUCAAAAUUGGGGGAUGCUUCGUUCCCAGGAUUUUCCAGUCUCGCCUCUUAUCAAAAUAUGGGGACUAAUCAAAACAUAAAAUUGAUCGCAGCCACAAAAACACGAAAAGCUCGUCAGGGCAACUACCCUCUCAUGAUUUAUGGUGGAUGCUACCCAACUUUUCAGGGUGCUGCUGGUCGUGGGUGGGGCUGGGGCUCACCCAGUUAUCCUCCAUACAACUCAUUUGGAAACCAAAAUAGAGCGCCACCGUUCCCCAACCCCGCCGUUUUUCUUGGUUCGUUCGCUUGUUACAGAAAUCCACACGACCCGAGAUGUUCCCAAAGGCCGAGUGGCCACGGAUGAUGUUUUUGGAUUGUUGGGAAAAGAAAUUGUGAACAGGCUUCCAUGCUCACUCUCCUUUACAAAAAUAAACUUGUUAAAGUUAUAUCUAUCUAAUUGCAAAAUUAUAAUUUCAAAUCUAACCAGAUUGAAUACAUGAAACUACAUGUACAUAUGUAUUUAUAUAAUUUUGGCUUUAGUAAUAUGAACACUUUUUAAAAACUUCAUUAUGAUUUAUUGUCAGGAACGGUUCCGGGUAUUUCCAUAUUUAAUUGAAUUUUUCAUACUUACAAUGGUAGUGCAAAUCAUGUUCCCCUCAGAUAAUUUGCGAGUUAUUCAGACUCCACCUCCUCCACAUCUUGCUUAAUUAGACUGUAUUUCGCAUAGAGUUGUACUCAUGCCCGUGCCCUGGGCCUUUACGCCUUUAUGGCAUUCCCUACUUGCCGGGCAAAUUGAAUGUCGGGCAUUUUGAAUUUAUGAUUUUUUUGCGACUUUUUUGAAAAUAUAAAAAUUCGCUGCCUAACAAUUUUGAGUUCUCAAUAAAAAUUCGGUGUACAGUGUAAA